rnacentral:lncRNA from 1 species
UUUGUUAAAACCACGCACAUUCCAAAAAAAACACGCCAUGAUUAAUGAUUUCGCCUAGAGGACCUUUUGCUCUCAAGAAUUUCCUGAGCUUUGGCCUUCUGGACUCUCUUCCCCCCUUUUUGCGAACCUGCUUUAUCCUUUACCUUAACUAGUUGAUCUAGUAACUCGUCUUCUAACUUAUCCUCCUCUGUAAUCUCAUGAUUUACUCCUUCCUCACUGCCUUCAACACCCCCUACAUGUAAGUCUUCCUCCGGGAUUUCCCCUUCCUC